CUUUUCUCUAUUGAAGAACAUAGGUUACACACACACAGAACUCACUCACUACUCGCUCCCUCUCUCUCUCACGCACGGCGUCGGCCACCACCGGGGUCUCUCUCUCACGCACGGCGUCGGCCACCACCGGGGUCUCUCUCUCAGGCACGGUGCAGAGAUGGGAACCAAUGGUUUUCAGAAGAAGAAAAGGAAAAAUAACAAGCUUACAGAGCUUUCCCAAGAAGAUAGAAAAUUAAACAAAAUUGUUAUCGAACCUCAAGAGGACCAACAUUCAGAGAAGAGAAAAAGGAAGAAGGAACAUAAUGUUGGUGUUGGCAACUAUGUUCAAUUUCCUUUUGAUGACGAUACUUGAAUAAGAAAAGGGAAAAAGAAGAAAGGUGAGAAAUCAGCAAGGAAGGGAAAAGUGAAGAAUGCAGAGAACAACAAUGCUUUGAUUGAAAACAAUGAGCAAAUUGAUUGCGAGCCUGCUGACGAUUUAAAUGAACAUGGUACACUAAACUCUGAUACAUUUGUUUCUUUUCCUAGAUUCCGGAAUUUUAUGUAGGCUAGGAUAUUCUUUUAGUUUUUUCUUGUGUUUUGGGGGCAUAAACGGGUAGAAGGGUAGUAAAAUGUGUGUGCCUUGAGUCUUAAGGUUAGGAUAUUGUUCUUUUAUAAAAGUAGAAACAAAUAGAAAAUGGUAAUUUUCACACAUAAGCAAGAUCAAGUACCAUUUUUUUUUAUAAUUUAUUUAUUGCUUUAAGAAAUUUACCUUUAUCUGUGUUAUGAAAUCACAACCCAAAGCAUAUUGUUCGCUCUAGGGAAUUUGUCAUAUUAUCAAGCAACACCAUUUUCAUUGUGCUCUUCUGAAAAUUGUCUUUUAAUUAGGUAUUUCUUCUUUAGUAGGCAGGUCAAAGAAAUCUUUGAAGAAGAAAAAAUAUCGAAAUUCUUCCAAGGAAGAUGACUCUGCACAGGAUAAAUUAGAAGAAAAGUAGGUAUCCUUCUAUUUUUACCCAACAUUUUAAAAUUGUUAAUUGAUACCCACUUUUCUAAUCACAAUACCUAUUUUACCCUUUCUAGGUUUUGAAAUGCAAACCACAACCCAUUAAACUGUAAACCACAACUUUUUAAAAUAUAAAUGUGGAAGUUAGUUAAGUUAUUUAGUAUGUCACUUAGCAGCUCGACAACCUUUUUGCAUAUUUUUCAAACACAUUUUUUUUUUGGUCAAUACAGUUAGCUCUCUUGUAUAAAGCCCUUGCCUUUACUAUCAUUGUUGAGACGUUCAUUUUAUUCUUUCAUCUGUAAAAUUCUUCCCGUAUAAGAUUCUUGGAUUCAUGUUUCUCCAAGAACCAAGAAUCUCUGUUUUGUAAGGAGUUUUUGAUCUCCAUUGUUUGUAAUCGAGACUGAAUAAUUGAGCUAAGUGGCUAAUAAAGACUACAAGCCUUAUAGGUUGUUCUCCCGUGGAGUAGACAAUAGAUUCAACAUCUCUUGACCAUGUAAUUUUGUGAGUUGUAUUUACUUUGCUAUUGUUUUAUCAUUUCUCAUUUUUAUGUUUGUGAUUAGAUGCUGUGCUUAGUCACUUGUUUGUUCUUGUUUUGUGUGGUUUGAUCACCACAAGUGGUACCAGAAGCCAGGUUUGAGGAUCAAGAACUGUCUUUAUCUCAAUCAAGAUUACAUCAAGAAUGAGUUCAACAAAGUUUGAAGUUGAUAAGUUCACUAGGGAGAAUGAUUUCAGUCUUUGGAGAAUCAAAAUGAGAGCACUGUUAGUGCCUCAGAGAAUUUCAGAAGUCAUUGAAGAGGAGGCUUUCAAGGAUUCGAAAGAAGAUAAAAAAAGAUUAAAGAGCUUCAGACCAAGGCUCACAGUGUCAUUCUUCUAAGUCUGGGAGAUGGAGAUGAAGUUCUUCGAGAAGUCUCACAUGAAGAGACUGCUAUUGGGUUAUGGAAUAAGUUAGCUGUCAUCUACUUGAAGAAAACUCUGGCCAAUAAACUGUAUCUGAAGAAAAGAUUGUACAUGCUAAGAAUGGAUGAAACUCAUGAACUCAGAAAACAUCUUGAUGAGUUCAACAGAAUAGUUCUUAAACUUAAGAACAUUGGUUUCAAAAUCGAUGAGGAGGAUUAAGGGAUUGUCUUACUGAGUUCUUUACCAAAAUCAUAUGAGCAAUUUUUUGGCACCAUGCUCUAUGGAAAAGAAACUUUAACAAUGUCAGAAGUCAAAGCUGCAUUAAAAUUCAAAAGAAACCCAAAAUAGAUCGAAAGACAAGAAUGACUCAAAUGGAUACGGGCUUAUGGUCCGAGGCAGAUCAGAAAAGAGAGAAAAUAGGGGUUUCAAGAAUAACAACAGUAAUGGGAAUCAUCAGAAUAACGGUAGUAACAGAAAUCAUGGGGGUCAUCGAUCCAAGUCAAGGUUCAGACAUUAAAAGUUUUGCAAUUAUUGUAAGAAAUAAGAUCAUUACAAAGAUGAGUGCUACUCGCUAAAAAAUAAGAACAACAAAGAUAAGAACAGAGAUAAGAAUGACAAAGGCAAUAGAGGUAAAGCAGGUACUGUGACAGAUGGCUAUGAAUCAGUCGAUGUAGUGGUUGUUGCUAAUUCAGAUUCGAGACAAGAAUGGAUUUUGGACUCUGGUUGUACUUUUCACAUGUGCCUAGAUAAGAGCUUGUUCAAUUAUCUUGAAGAGUAAGCUAGUUGUAAUCUAAACUUAGAAGAAAAAAAGAAAAGAAAAUAAUGAGCCAUAAUUAUUAUUCAACGAAGUUUAAUUAUUCUUA